UUUAUUACAUGAUACUCACGGCAGGACCAGCAAAUCCAUUGGGACCAGCGGGACCAACUUCACCACGUUCACCCUAGGGCUACCACGAGGACCAGCGGGACCAGCAGGACCAGCAGCACCAGCUUCACCCUAUGAUGGGGCCAAAGAUGAGCUUGUUAAUGUGCCAAACACAAAUGCUCACAGAGUUGGAAGGAGAGGGAUGCCAGCAGCACCCCUCUCUCCGGGGAGUCCACCAGGACCAGAGGCACCAGCACUGCCCGGAGCACCAACGGA